GUGCUCGCUUCGGCAGCACGUAGACUAAAAUUGGAAUGUUACGGAGAAGAUUAGCAUGGCCCCUGCACAAAGAUGACACACAAAUUCGUGAAGCGUUCCAUAUUGUU
ensembl:snRNA U6 U6 spliceosomal RNA